rnacentral:rRNA from 1 species
UACGGGAGGCAGCAGUGGGGAAUAUUGCACAAUGGGCGCAAGCCUGAUGCAGCCAUGCCGCGUGUAUGAAGAGGGCCUUCGGGUUGUAAAGUACUUUCAGUCGUGAGGAAGGUGUUAAGGUUAAUAACCUUAGCAAUUGACGUUAGCGACAGAAGAAGCACCGGCUAACUCCGUGCCAGCAGCCGCGGUAAUACGGAGGGUGCGAGCGUUAAUCGGAAUUACUGGGCGUAAAGGGCACGCAGGCGGUUAAUUAAGUUGGAUGUGAAAUCCCCGGGCUUAACCUGGGAAUGGCAUUCAAGACUGGUUAGCUAGAGUCUUGUAGAGGGGGUAGAAUUCCAUGUGUAGCGGUGAAAUGCGUAGAGAUGUGGAGGAAUACCGGUGGCGAAGGCGGCCCCUGGACAAAGACUGACGCUCAUGUGCGAAAGCGUGGGGAGCAAACGAGGAUUAGAUACC